rfam:Blautia sp. An46 An46_contig_62, whole genome shotgun sequence.
GGCCAAGCAAAAAAGAGCACAGGGCGGAUGCCUUGGCACCAAGAGCCGAUGAAAGACGUGAUAAGCUGCGAUAAGCUUCGGGGAGGAGCAAAUAUCCAUUGAUCCGGAGAUCUCUG